rnacentral:tRNA from 1 species
GAGGUUGUGGCUCAGUGGUAGAGCACUUGCCUGGCAUGCAUGAGGCACUGGGUUCAAUCCUCAGCACCACA